rnacentral:rRNA from 1 species
UAGUCCACACCGUAAACGAUGAAUGCCAGACGUCGGGCAGUAUACUGUUCGGUGUCACACCUAACGGAUUAAGCAUUCCGCCUGGGGAGUACGGUCGCAAGAUUAAAACUCAAAGGAAUUGACGGGGGCCCGCACAAGCGGUGGAGCGUGUGGUUUAAUUCGAAGCAACGCGCAGAACCUUACCAACCCUUGACAUACUUGUCGCGGUUUCCAGAGAUGGAUUCCUUCAGUUCGGGCUGGACAAGAUACAGGUGCUGCAUGGCUGUCGUCAGCUCGUGUCGUGAGGUGUUCGGUUAAGUCCGGCAACGAGCGCAACCCACAUCCUUAGUUGCCAGCAGUUCGGCUGGGCACUCUAGGGAAACUGCCCGUGAUAAGCGGGAGGAAGGUGUGGAUGACGUCAAGUCCUCAUGGCCCUUACGGGUUGGGCUACACACGUGCUACAAUGGUACUGACAAUGGGUUAAGUUCCCCGAAAAACCUAAUCUCAAGUUCGGAUUAGGGGUCUGUCAACUCGACCCCACUCGAAGUCGG